UACGGAGGGUGCAAGCGUUAUCCGGAUUCACUGGGGUUAAAGGGUGCGUAGGCGGACAGGUAAGUCAGUGGUGAAAUCUCUGGGCUUAACCCAGAAACUGCCGUUGAUACUAUUUGUCUUGAAUAUCCUGGAGGUAGGCGGAAUAUGUCAUGUAGCGGUGAAAUGCUUAGAUAUGACAUAGAACACCGAUAGCGAAGGCAGCUUACUACAGGAUGAUUGACGCUGAGGCACGAAAGCGUGGGGAGCAAACAGG
rnacentral:rRNA from 1 species